rnacentral:lncRNA from 1 species
AUUAUGAUGUUUCGUCUCCAGCAGUAGAAACUGUCGGUUAAACAGUCUGAAGAGUACUUGUGAACAUGUGAAGAAUACACUGCUGCUGCACACACACACACACACACACACACACACACUCACCUAGACGUGAAGCUGAGUCGGCCGGCCCACAGCACGGGUACGGCAGCUGUGUGGAGCAGUGGGCUCAGUCCCGCAGGAGGAUCUACGGUGCGGUGCGGUGCGGUGCUGUGCGGGGCGGUCAGUGCUGUCACUUUCUGACAGGGUCUCCAGCCAUGAGCAGCAGUGAGGCCAGGACUGCGCCACUAUGCCCCGGGAUAUAACAGAGGAAGCGACGCACGGCUCUGCAGAGAAUUUUGUUCGAGUGUGUGGGGAUUAUAAUUAUCAUCUUCAUCUUCAUCAUCAUUAUCAUCAUCAUAAUCAUUAUCAUUAUUACAGCAGCAGGACGACGACACGUUGCUUUUUACACUCACGUCCAUGAUCGGGGGUGCGCGCAAACUCGGCAAAGAUGGAAAAACCUGGUGGUGGAGGCAGGAGGUGUCGACUACCCAGCAUCACCUGAAGAACUGGAAGGUGAUGCUGUGGGUGGUGGCGUCAUUGCUGACACUGGUGGAAGUGUUUUCUGAGGAUGACAAAAAAGAGGCUCAGUCAGACCUCCAGCGUGUCUUUAGCCAGCCCUGGUCUCCUGCUGAGGGUCUGGUAGAGGACAGGAGCAUCCAUACACCCUGGCCUCAAGCUGUUGGUCAGUAACUCAUCUUCUUAUUGCAUCAGCAUGAUAUCAGCAGACUUCUUGUUCUACUUUUUUAUGAUCAAACUCGACUCGACUGACUGAUCAACUCUGAUGAAAUCAAAUGGCAGGUCAGUU